CAGUCGCCGCGGUAAUACGUAGGGCGCAAGCGUUGUCCGGAAUUAUUGGGCGUAAAGAGCUCGUAGGCGGUCUGUCGCGUCUGGUGUGAAAUCCCGAGGCUCAACCUCGGGCUUGCAUCGGGUACGGGCAGACUAGAGUGCGGUAGGGGAGACUGGAAUUCCUGGUGUAGCGGUGGAAUGCGCAAAUAUCAGGAGGAACACCGAUGGCGAAGGCAGGUCUCUGGGCCGCAACUGACGCUGAGGAGCGAAAGCAUGGGGAGCGAACAGGAUUAGAUACCCCUGUAGUCCCUGUCUCUUAUAC
rnacentral:rRNA from 1 species